UGCGCAGGCGGUGAUGUAAGGCGGAUGUGAAAUCCCCGGGCUCAACCUGGGAACUGCAUUCGUGACUGCAUCGCUGGAGUGCGGCAGAGGGGGAUGGAAUUCCGCGUGUAGCAGUGAAAUGCGUAGAUAUGCGGAGGAACACCGAUGGCGAAGGCAAUCCCCUGGGCCUGCACUGACGCUCAUGCACGAAAGCGUGGGGAGCAAACA
rnacentral:rRNA from 1 species